rnacentral:rRNA from 1 species
AACGAACGCUGGCGGCAGGCUUAACACAUGCAAGUCGAACGCACCGCAAGGUGAGUGGCAGACGGGUGAGUAACACGUGGGGAUCUGCCCAAUGGUACGGAAUAGCUCCGGGAAACUGGAAUUAAUACCGUAUGAGCCCGCAAGGGGAAAGAUUUAUCGCCAUUGGAUGAACCCGCGUCGGAUUAGCUAGUUGGUGUGGUAAAGGCGCACCAAGGCGACGAUCCGUAGCUGGUCUGAGAGGAUGAUCAGCCGCACUGGGACUGAGACACGGCCCAGACUGCUACGGGAGGCAGCAGUGGGGAAUAUUGGACAAUGGGCGCAAGCCUGAUCCAGCCAUGCCGCGUGAGUGAUGAAGGCCUUAGGGUUGUAAAGCUCUUUCGCCGACGAAGAUAAUGACGGUAGUCGGAGAAGAAGCCCCGGCUAACUUCGUGCCAGCCGCCGCGGUAACAC